GGUGAACAACCUCUAGUCAAUAGAACAAUGUAGGUAAGGGAAGUUGGAAAAAUGGAUCCAUAACUUCGGGAAAAGGAUUGGCUCUGAGGGCUAGGCCUAGGGGUCUGCGUCCUCAACCCAUGGGCUGUUGGCAGUCUGCCCAAGCGACUAUCGCGGCGAGGGCAGGCAGUCGCGUGCCGAUUGGGAUACGAACAUAGAAUGUCCGCUCGCGGGGGAUUUUCCCUAGGUGGCGAAUAGUCGAGUCAGAACUGGUACAGACAAGGGGAAUCUGAAUAUUUAAUUAAAACAAAGCAUUGUGAUGGUCCCUGUAGAUGCUGGUGCAAUGUGAUUUCUGCCUAGUGCUCUGAAUGUCAAAGUGAAGAAAUUCAACGAAGCGCGGGUAAACGACGAGAGUAACUAUGACUCUCUUAAGUUAUCCAAAUGCCUCAUCAUCUAAUUAGUGACAUGCAUGAAUGGAUUAAUGAGAUUCCCACUAUCCCUAUCUACUAUCUAGAAAAACCACAGCCAAGGGAAUGAUCUUGGAAGAAUCAGUGGGGAAAGAAGACCCUGUUGAUCUUGAAUCUAGUCUGACUUUUUGAAAUGACUUGAGAGGUGUAGAAUAAGUGGGAGCCAUUUUUAGUGCAAGUGAAAUACCACUACUUUUAACGUUAUUUUACUUAUUAUGUGGGGCAAAGAUUUUUAUCAAACUAAUCGGUAGGUGCGGACACUAACAAAUCUCCCUAGAUCCACCUGGAUCUAGAACAAAACAGGACAGGACAUGACUCUUUCCCUAAGUUUUGACCAUUGAAUUAGGUAAUAGGGAGGAACAAGUAACAUACCUUUGUAUCGCUUCCUAGGGUCUUUGUUGCUCCCGCUUUUCUCCGGUGCUCUCGUGAGGUCAAGACCAAGACAACACAAACCAACCAAAGUGAAGAUAGCAAAAUACAUUCAACUGUCAACUUAUGUGUAUGAUCAAGGAAUUACACAAUAAAGUGAGAAUGACUUUAUGGGAAAAGGACAUGCCACUGUAUCAUAUUAAUUGAAAGUAGAAGAUUACAACUUGAUCGCCUUGAUGUCACAAGCUUCCUUUCGGUGGCUCUUGGCUCCAACACACACACUUUCUCAAUCCUUGUAUGAAGAAGAUCAAAUCCUCUUGAUAGACUUGCUAGAGUCUCCAAGCUCCUGU
rnacentral:ncRNA from 1 species